UCUUACCACUAGGGGUGCCUCAAAGCAAUGAGCGUAGUCGUUCAAUCUUUUGAAACUCUACUAUGAGUGGUUUCUCAUAGUGUUCUCGCAACGAACGGAGCCAUUGCCAUUCGCUGGCCUCGUGCCACACUGGGCUGAGAUAAGGAAACCUUAAUCCCUUAGAACCUGAUCUAGUUUAUGCUAGCGUAGGAAAGUGGAGCGGAUAGCAU
rnacentral:ncRNA from 2 species